CCUUGACAUACUAAGAACUUUCCAGAGAUGGAUUGGUGCCUUCGGGAACUUAGAUACAGGUGCUGCAUGGCUGUCGUCAGCUCGUGUCGUGAGAUGUUGGGUUAAGUCCCGNAACGAGCGCAACCUUUUCCUAUUUGCCAGCGGGUCAUGCCGGGAACUUUAAGGAUACUGCCAGUGACAAACUGGAGGAAGGCGGGGACGACGUCAAGUCAUCAUGGCCCUUACGGCCAGGGCUACACACGUGCUACAAUGGUCGGUACAAAGGGUUGCUACCUCGCGAGAGGAUGCUAAUCUCAAAAAGCCGAUCGUAGUCCGGAUCGCAGUCUGCAACUCGACUGCGUGAAGUCGGAAUCGCUAGUAAUCGCGGAUCAGAAUGCCGCGGUGAAUACGUUCCCGGGCCUUGUACACACCGCCCGUCACACCAUGGGAGUUUGUUGCACCAGAAGUAGGUAGUCUAACCGCAAGGAGGACGCUUACCACGGUGUGGCCGAUGACUGGGGUGAAGUCGUAACAAGGUAGGCGUAGAUGA
rnacentral:rRNA from 1 species